rnacentral:rRNA from 1 species
ACGCACGCUGGCGGCAUGCCUAACCCAUGCCAGUCGCACGAGACCUUCGGGUCUAGUGGCGCACGGGUGCGUAACGCGUGGGAACCUGCCCUUAGGUUCGGAAUAACUCCCCGAAAGGGGUGCUAAUACCGGAUAAUGUCUUCGGACCAAAGAUUUAUCGCCUUUGGAUGGGCCCGCGUUGGAUUAGCUAGUUGGUAGGGUAAAAGCCUACCAAGGCGACGAUCCAUAGCUGGUCUGAGAGGAUGAUCAGCCACACUGGGACUGAGACACGGCCCAGACUCCUACGGGAGGCAGCAGUGGGGAAUAUUGGACAAUGGGCGAAAGCCUGAUCCAGCAAUGCCGCGUGAGUGAUGAAGGCCUUAGGGUUGUAAAGCUCUUUUACCCGGGAUGAUAAUGACAGUACCGGGAGAAUAAGCUCCGGCUAACUCCGUG